GUCCAAGCCAUGGAAGCCGGGAGUGCCUGAAGUGCGUGACCGCAAGGAGCGUCCUAAGGCAAUACCGGUGACUGGGGCUAAGUCGUAACAAGGUAGC
rnacentral:rRNA from 1 species